UGGGGAAUAUUGCACAAUGGGCGCAAGCCUGAUGCAGCCAUGCCGCGUGUAUGAAGAAGGCCUUCGGGUUGUAAAGUACUUUCAGUCGGGAGGAAGGUGGUAAGGUUAAUAACCUUAUCAAUUGACGUUACCGACAGAAGAAGCACCGGCUAACUCCGUGCCAGCAGCCGCGGUAAUACGGAGGGUGCAAGCGUUAAUCGGAAUUACUGGGCGUAAAGCGAGCGCAGGCGGUUUCUUAAGUCUGAUGUGAAAGCCCCCGGCUCAACCGGGGAGGGUCAUUGGAAACUGGGAGACUUGAGUGCAGAAGAGGAGAGUGGAAUUCCAUGUGUAGCGGUGAAAUGCGUAGAUAUAUGGAGGAACACCAGUGGCGAAGGCGGCUCUCUGGCCUGUAACUGACGCUGAGGCUCGAAAGCGUGGGGAGCAAACAGG
rnacentral:rRNA from 1 species